rnacentral:rRNA from 1 species
UACAGAGGGGGCAAGCGUUGUUCGGAAUUACUGGGCGUAGAGGGCGCGUAGGCGGCCUGUUAAGUCGAACGUGAAAUCCCCGGGCUCAACCCGGGAACUGCGUCCGAUACUGGCAGGCUUGAAUUCGGGAGAGGGAUGCGGAAUUCCAGGUGUAGCGGUGAAAUGCGUAGAUAUCUGGAGGAACACCAAUGGCGAAGGCAGCUCGCUGGGACGUUACUGACGCUGAGACGCGAAAGCGUGGGGAGCAAACAGG